rnacentral:rRNA from 1 species
UACGGAGGGUGCAAGCGUUAUCCGGAUUCACUGGGUUUAAAGGGUGCGUAGGCGGAUAGGUAAGUCCGUGGUGAAAUCCUGCAGCUUAACUGCAGAACUGCCGUGGAUACUAUCUAUCUUGAAUAUCGUGGAGGUUAGCGGAAUAUGUCAUGUAGCGGUGAAAUGCUUAGAUAUGACAUAGAACACCCAUUGCGAAGGCAGUUCACUAAAUUGUAACUGACGCUGAGGCACGAAAGCGUGGGGAUCAAACAGG